UACAUGCAGGGGAAGGACCCCAGCUUGCAGCUGUUGGGCAGUGCUGGUUAUUUUUGUUCAUUGUCUAAUGUGUUGGUGGUCCACAAAUCGACUGGGGGAGACUUUGAAAGAGGAGAGGCAUUCCAGACGACAUCACAACCAGCAGCAGCAGCUGCCUCUUGUGAAUCGACAGCCGUCGUUGCCACACUGCAGAGAAGCAGCCUUCCUCCAUGAGACAUCAGCCACAUCGACCCUCCUCAGCACAAUACUGUGAGGACCCACAAACAUGCCCUCCAGAAUUGAUUUGUAGCUUUUGGUUUUAAGGCGCAGGACAAAGGGGUUGUAAUUAUAUAUUUCGAUGGUUUGAUAAUGCAUUGGCCGGAUAAGCAACGUAAGAGAGUGGCUUUUUUUUGUCUUGCAAUAACUGAGACGCGCGUGUAAUGAGGCGAAACGAUUGAUAGGCAGUGCGAUAGACGCCGCCGGUAUUCACACCCUGGCUUGAAGAGAAAGCGCGCAAUCCUUCAAUGAAGAAACCCGCAUUUUCUUCAGUAUGCUCAAGUUUAAGGUUGUGAAGACAAAAAGCCAUGACGAUAGCGUGACAAGUUACCAUCACUCUUGCAAGCCUACUGGAGAGUCGGCUGAAUCCUUGACAUCAGAAACAUAGAGCUGUUGAGGGCAUCCCUUGGCCAUCUCCUGCAAUGAGAUCACAGCAUGACGCAGCUGGACCCAGCCAGGCUGUUGGAGUUGGGGAAGUGGGUCAUCCCUUCAGCAUUUUCUGCUUCUACUGCAGGUCACAUUUGUGGAGUGGUCAAAUAGAAACGCGGCUUGGAUCGUCCGGCCUUGGAAGCAGGUCUUCAAGCACUGUCAGCAUGGAGGGAGGAACCAUCACCACCACCCCAAACAGGACGCCAACGUCCUCGAAGAAGUUGCAAAACUUUGGGAAGCGCUCGCACGCUAUCCAGAGGAACCCGAACGCUCCCGUGAUGAUUCGCGGGUGGCUGCACAAGCAGGACAGCACUGGCAUGAGGCUGUGGAAGCGACGAUGGUUUGUUCUGGCUGAUUUCUGUUUGUUCUAUUACAAAGGUGAGGCACGUAGAGAGUGGAUGUACGUUGCUUCAGUAGGAAGUUACCGGAAUGACAUGGCCUGCAUGCACGAGUGUUGGCAACGGAUGAUGAUGAUGAUGAUGAUAAAAUGAUGAAAAUUUAUUUAAUGAUUGAACUUGAAUAACAUUACUUUAUCACCACACAAUACAAGUUGAGCAAAACUAAUUCCAGGAUGGUUGUUCCUGCAAUGAUGUCACACCUGUUUAAGAAGCUGGAUCCGGUUAUUCUAACUUCGUGGAUUUUAUUUUACUUCCUGGAUAUUGUCCCGAUGAUUCUCGAUGUAGAAUGAAGGGUAACUUCAUAUCUCGUUGCUAAAUUUAGUUGUCAGAAUUAUUCUUCACCUCAACAGUGAGUUGAAACAAUUAUAUACAUAAUUGACACAUUUUUCGAUUUAAAGCUUUCGUGACUGCAGGGAUUCAUCUUCUUGGUUCUUUCGGUAA